rnacentral:lncRNA from 1 species
CUCCAAUUAGAAGAUCCUACCAAUGUACGUGUGUUGAAAUGUCGAAGCGAAUCAUGUUACAAUGUACGUGAACGAGGAGCUAUGCGGUUUAUGAAUGUAUGGUGUUUUCCAGGGAUUGGCAUUUGAAGACAUUGCCAGCUGCACCUGGUAGAUCAGGCUUAGGUACUCGGGUUUUGCUGCAACUGAUAGCAAGUUCAGGGCCAGCCCAUACAACGCAAUAAAAAUUGGAAAAAAAAAAAAAUAAAGCAACGCAUUCAUUUAGCUCUGGUCUUCCCGGUUUAAUUUCUAGUCCUAGCUUCAGGAGAAAUGAGAAGGUUUCUCAUUGGUGAAUACCCAUCUCUUUGACAGGAAAACACUGAGGUGAAAGUGUUCUGAGUGUAGACGUGAGCAGUAGUGGCUGGUGCAGAUUGCCAGACAAUUUCCUAAUUACCAUCUAUGCACCACACAGUGUAGCCCACCAGUCGCUUAUGCUCCAUGGUAUGAAAGACCCUGCUAGUCUUUGCAAUGUUGCUUCAUUGUAUAUUUUAGGCCUGGUACCAACAAAUAUGUAUCAAACAAAAGAUUUGGCAAAAAAGUAACUGCUCUACCUAUGAAGCUACUUAUAACGACUAGAGUCUUCCAGACUGGAUUUUGUUCAAUCAGAGAUUUAGGUGAAUAUCAAUAAACUCCUAGGACACAUUAAUCUACCAUAAAAUAUCAACACUCUAGACUUAAUUUCCAGUAUAUUGCUGUUUUCCCCAAUAAUAAAUUGACUUAAAGCUUCUUACAGCGUGUACAGUUUUAUUAUUUUUGAUUUCUGCGAAAACACUGCUUAAAAUGUAACCAUUUUGCUAUUGUUUAAAACUAUUUCUUUGUAUGCUUAUUCUAUAAUUUUUGCAUUGUAGAUUUUUUUUUAAAUUGUCUGUGAAAACAGCUCUCCCUUAGAAUAGAGGCAGGAGGUUGGUGUCCGUGGCGUUCAGAUUUAUAUGUGCACUGAUUCUCGUGUGCUUCCCACGUCACUCCCCCAUGUUGCAUCCUGUGAUUAACUGCACCUUACUUUGUUCUGAUCAUACAGCCUGGGCACUGCAUGCGAUAUUAUGCCACACAGUGCCUAUUAGCAGCUCCCGAGGCACCAGCUCACACACAAGGCUUGCCGAAUGUUGCCAACCGAAGUACUUUUACUAAAUAUAGUGAUUUCAUUGUGGGAAACAGACCUCUUUGUUUUCCCAGUGCCAUGCCUCAGCACGUAGGUACUAAAUUAAUUUAUCUCUGUAUUGUACUGUAUAGUAUAGUUUAACUUUAGAAGUUGUCCGAGUUACUGACUUGUACUUUAUUGGAAAAAAAAAGUCAUUCAAUGAUUAUCGGGUUUCAAUAAAGAAAAAAAAAUAUUUCAACAACUUACAAAAUGGUCCUAACUGUAUUUCUGCUGACUGUUCUAUGUGAUGUUCUCUGUAUUUGCCAAGUAUAAAACCAAAGUAUUGGCUCUGAAAAACAUCAUUGAGUCUCUGUGUGCUGCAUUAUCAAAUACUCAGCUGAGAUUUACUCUUUUAUGUAAAAAAUAAGUAUGCCCAUCUUAUUAAUAUACAGACUUAACCUUCAUAAUAAAUGAUAAAAUUGUCUAGUCACCA